UCCGACUUAACGUCGGCAGUCUCGUUAGAGUGCUCGGCCGAACCGUUAGCAACUAACGACAAGGGUUGCGCUCGUUGCGGGACUUAACCCAACAUCUCACGACACGAGCUGACGACAGCCAUGCAGCACCUGUGUUACGGCUCCCUUUCGGGCACACCCAGCUCUCGCUGGGCUUCCGUACAUGUCAAGGGUAGGUAAGGUUAUUCGCGUUGCAUCGAAUUAAUCCACAUCGUCCACCGCUUGUGCAGGCCCCCAUCAAUUCCUUUGAGUUUCGGUCUUGCGGCCGUACUCCCCAGGCGGGGUGCUUAAUGCGUUAGCUGCGGCACGGAGAACGUGGAAUGUUCCCCACACCUAGCACCCACCGUUUACGGCGUGGACUAC
rnacentral:misc_RNA from 1 species